rnacentral:lncRNA from 13 species
UUCCUCCACCUGUUUCAUCACACUGUAGUUCCUCCACCUGUUUCAUCACCCUGUAGUUCCUCCNNNNNNNNNNCUACCCAAUGGGGUAUCUAGAGUUAACUCUGUAGCCACACAAUGGGGUCUCUAGAGUUAACUCUGUAGCCACACAAUGGGGUAUCUAGAGUUAACUCUGUAGCCACCCAAUGGGGUAUCUAGAGUUAACUCUGUAGCCACACAAUGGGGUAUCUAGAGUUAACUCUGUAGCCACCCAAUGGGGUAUCUAGACCAGAUCUAACCAACCCUGUGAACGGGUUUGAUAACUUUACAUUUUAAAUAUGAACAGUGAAGUUAGGUAUGUUGGAAGCAUUCGGAGCAGGGCUUUGUUUACAAGAAGGUAAUGAUGUGAUCAACGUGCCCGUAAAGAGGACCAGCCAACCGUGCGGUAAACAAUACAGCGACGAGUAAUAAAACUGUAUCCUGUGAUAAAAUGAAAGGGCGUUUAUGAUGAAAUGUCAUCCAGGGGUUUUAACAGCAGAGGCAGCUGCUCUUUGAUAAACAGUAUUAUCAUAAUCAACAACAGGUAGAAAUGUUUCACAAUAUGCUUCCUGCUGACUACAGAGAGACCUGUAUUUGUUUCUGUUAAUAAAAAAAAAACACAUUUAAAUCUUAAUUUCUUAAAAAGCUCAUUGUUAUGUUUUUGUUUUGUUUUUCAAUACCAAAGGUACUGGUAUGCAGGGACUCGCUCGAUUAUAGAGCCGUCCGAUUCAACUCGGCGGGUCAGGGUCGGCCGUUCCGGUGUGGUCGGAUCCCCUCGUGGGACUGAUCCCUGGUCGGGCUCGGCCCCCGCCGGGCGCAUUUCCUCUGUCGGUGGUGCGCCGUCCGAUGAGUACAGAUGUAAUCCAAUCGUAAUGCACGUCUCAAAGACGUUCACGAACCACAUUCACGGUAAAAGGUUUGUUUACGAACCACAUUCACGGUAAAAGGUGCAUUAUGACGACGUAAAUAACCUUUAAAAGGGCGUAUUGCCCAAAACCCACGAUUGUUUUGAAUCUCUACGUUAAACGUGAAGAGUUACUCGUUCUGUAUUUAUUACUGAUUUCAUUAUCUUUAUAUUGUCGUCUCUUACUUUCUCUCUGCGUUGUUGGGAAGGGCACAUUUCACUGUUAGUCAACACCUGUUGUUCACCGAGCAUGUGACAAAUAAAAUUGGAUUUGAUUUGACUAUGAGGGUGGUGAUAUCUUGAACUGACAUUUUGUUGUCAAUUAUUUCCAAUUGACUAAAACCUUUACUAUGAUAUAAAUAUAGAUAAAUAGUUGUUACUAUGAUAUAUAUAGAAACUGUUUACUAUGAUAUAUGUAGAAACGGUUUACUAUGAUAUAUGUAGAAACGGUUUACUAUGAUAUAUAUAUAGAAACGGUUUACUAUGAUAUAUAUAGAAACUGUUUACUAUGAUAUAUAUAUAGAAACUGUUUACUAUGAUAUAUAUAGAAACUGUUUACUAUGAUAUAUAUAGAAACGGUUUACUAUGAUAUACUGUAUAUAGAGAGAUUAAAACUGAAAAUGGACAAACUAAAAUAAACAAGCAGAACGGUAAUAAACUUGGUUGAAACCAUUUGACAUGCCUGUUUUCAGUCCCUCCAACCUACAUCCCCAAACUGCAGAGUUCAUUGAAAUGUCAUUUACACACUAUAUUAAUCAGUAACACAACAUGGACCUCUAGUCCUCUUCAGAGAUUUAGUUAGUGACAUUAAUCAGUAACACAACAUGGACCUCUAGUCCUCUUCAGAGAGAUAGUUAGUGACAUUAAUCAGUAACACAACAUGGACCUCUAGUCCUCUUCAGAGAGAUAGCUAGUGACAUUAAUCAGUAACACAACAUGGACCUCUAGUCCUCUUCAGAGAGUUAGUUAGUGACAUUAAUCAGUAACACAACAUGGACCUCUAGUCCUCUUCAGAGAUUUAGUUAGUGACAUUAAUCAGUAACACAACAUGGACCUCUAGUCCUCUUCAGAGAGAUAGUUAGUGACAUUAAUCAGUAACACAACAUGGACCUCUAGUCCUCUUCAGAGAGAUAGCUAGUGACAUUAAUCAGUAACACAACAUGGACCUCUAGUCCUCUUCAGAGAG